rnacentral:rRNA from 1 species
GAUGAGCGCUGGCGGCGUGCCUAAUACAUGCAAGUAGAACGCUGAAGGAAGGAGCUUGCUCUUUCCGGAUGAGUUGCGAACGGGUGAGUAACGCGUAGGUAACCUGCCUGGUAGCGGGGGAUAACUAUUGGAAACGAUAGCUAAUACCGCAUAACAGUAGAUGUUGCAUGAUAUCUACUUAAAAGGUGCAAUUGCACCACUACCAGAUGGACCUGCGUUGUAUUAGCUAGUUGGUGAGGUAACGGCUCACCAAGGCGACGAUACAUAGCCGACCUGAGAGGGUGAUCGGCCACACUGGGACUGAGACACGGCCCAGACUCCUACGGGAGGCAGCAGUAGGGAAUCUUCGGCAAUGGACGGAAGUCUGACCGAGCAACGCCGCGUGAGUGAAGAAGGGUGUCGGAUCGUAAAGCUCUGUUGUAAGAGAAGAACGAGUGUGAGAGUGGAAAGUUCACACUGUGACGGUAUCUUACCAGAAAGGGACGGCUAACUACGUG